GACUUUGAGGAGAUUCUGGCCUUUGUCAACCACCACUGGGAGCUCCUGCAGCUUGGCAAGCUCACCAGCACCCCAGUGACAGAUCGAGGACCACAUCUCCUCAACGCUCUGAACAGUUAUAAAAGCCGGUUCCUCUGCGGCAAGGAGAUCAAGAAGAAGAAGUGCAUCUUCCGCCUGCGCAUCCGCGUCCCACCCAACCCGCCAGGGAAGCUGCUGCCUGACAAGGGACUGCUGCCAAAUGAGAACAGCGCCUCCUCUGAGCUGCGUAAGAGAGGAAAGAGCAAGCCUGGAGUGACUUCACCUCAGCCUGGAGCACCAACCACCACCUGGCUAGCAUAUUUGACUUCACGCUGGAUGAAAUUCAAAGUUUAAAAAGGUAUCAGUGAGGGACCUAGCAGAGAGGUCUGCUCUGGAGACAGGGAGGGAACCAAGCAGAAAGCCAAGCCCUCAGUUAAAAGGAUCCCUGCUGUGCAGGUCUGUCUGAAGGGGCUUUUUGCAGUAGAGCUUUCAGCAUAACAUCCCUGUUCCCAGAGCACCACAGCCCUCCCCUCUU
rnacentral:sRNA from 1 species